ACGCGAUUGCUCCAGUGGGCGGGGCGGUGAUGCCACAGUAUCCCGGCGACAGACGCUCGGCUCCUGUCCAGGAGGGUUUGGGGACAGGCACAGUGCGGCCUGGCCUCCGGUGCCAUGAAGAUCUGGAGCUCGGAGCACCUCUUCAGCCAUCCAUGGGAGACUGUUAUCAAAGCUGCAAUGCGUAAAUACCCCAAUCCCAUGAAUCCUAACGUGGUAGGCGUGGAUGUGUUGGAGAGAAAUCUUGAUACUCGAGGAAGACUGCAUAGCCAUCGUCUGCUUAGUACGGAGUGGGGCCUCCCCAGCAUUGUUAUAGCUAUACUAGGUACAAGCAGGACCACAACAUACAUUAAAGAACAUUCUGUUGUAGAUCCAGUUGAACGGACAAUGGAACUGAGUUCUUCUAAUAUUACACUCAGUAACCUUGUAUCCGUAGAUGAAAGACUGAUAUAUCGACCUCAUCCAGAGAAUCCAGAAAAGACCAUUUUGACCCAGGAGGCAAUAAUCACUGUGAAAGGAGUUAUCUUAAGUAGCUAUUUGGAAGGGUUAAUGGCCAACACAAUUUCUGCCAAUGCAGGAAAGGAACAGGGGUGGGAUGCUAUUGAAUGGAUAAUUCAAAACUCUGCUGUUAGCUAACAGCUCUCACUUCUGCAUAUUGCACUUCUCUCAGUGGACUGCAAACCAGUGGAGUGCGUUCUAGGCAAGUUUUAGUGUUUGAGGAGUCGUGAAUGGUGCUGAACGCUGUGCAAUCAUCUAUGAACAUGCCCAUUUCUGACCUGUUGGUGGAAGAAAGGUCAUUGAUAAAGCAGCUGAAGGUGGUUGGACUUGACGUACCACCUGAAGAAACACCAGCAGCAGUGUCCUGAAACUCAAAUGAUUGACCUCCAACAGCCAAAACCCUUAUCCUUUGUGCUAAUGUGAUUGUGGCCAAUGGAGAAUUCAAUAUAUUUAUCCAUAAUUGGACUAAGGCUGUAGUGAGGUCAGGAGCAAAGUACCUUGGUGCAACCAAAAAUGAGUGUAAACACAUUAUUACUGAGUUACUGCAACUGGAUAGUACUAGCGAUGAUGCUGUCAUUUUACUGAUGAUAUACUGUGCAGACUGAUGGGGCAGUAACUUGCCACGUUAGAUUUUUUUUGUGGGCAAAAUGGCAUGCAGCCUGAUCAUGACCUUUGUUUGCAGAAUUCAAAUGAUUGCAAGCGCAAUUCAUUUAUCUUGUUCACUGUACCAUGCAACAAGUCCACUUUUGGAGCUGAAAAGUGUGCCCUUUUACUUCAAAUUACCCUGGAAAGCCAAAGGAUCUCAAAAAUAUGAACAGGUUACUCAAAUCAUUUCACACUGCUGCAAUUCACUGGCUAUGCAAGUAGUAUUUCCCCCUGCUGCCAGUUCAAAAAGCCAUUCAGCGUACCAUUCAAUUGAGAAACAUUGUAUGAAUUUCAUUUCCAAUGCAUUGCCAAAUACGUAGGUUGUGCAUCCCAAAAAUUAGUUGAUGAAAUUAAUCAGCAUUUGAUUAGUUUCAUCAUUAGUUGAUGAAAUUAAUUAAAUGUCUGGAAGCUUGGGAAGCCUGUAGUUUUCUUUGUGGCAACACCUCCAUCAAUCAGAAUUAACUUUCCAACUAAUCGACACUCUUUUCUCCAGUAUCAAUUGUGAUCAUUUUAAAUUUGGCAUUCUUAUAUUUGGCCUGAUGAUGCAAAAUAAAAGGCUUUGGUAACCUGUUUUUUUCAGCGUUAUUCCAAUUCCGUUCCAAGCGACAAAUUUUCUCGUAAUUUAUUUUAAUUCUAAUUUAAAUGUUUAAAAUAUUUAGUAGAAUUUAGAUAGUCUGUUGAUAUUACUGCAUUUUAGUACUAACUGAAAUGUGCUGAAAAAUAAAGAAUAUUUUCUCUGAAA